GCACAGCCAAUUUAACCUACUGUGUCAUCUGCCCAUUUGGGCUCCAUAUAUAACUUCUGCAGCCGGCAAACAGGCUCCUCUGUAGUGUAUGCAGCCCAUGCGUUGUAUGGGCUAUUCAAAGUGACCUUGGAGACAGUC